rnacentral:rRNA from 1 species
AUGGCCGCUCCAUCCAUGUCUUCCCGUAUUCCCAUCUUCCUGCUAGUCCUAUUCUCGUCCAUCUCGGCUUCUUCUCCCACUCCCACCAAUGGCAAUCGUAGUGACAUCGAUCUCGCCGCACUGCUCGCUUUCAAAGCGCAGCUCGGCGACCCUGACCGCAUCCUUGCUGGUAACUGGACCACCGACACAUCUUUCUGCCACUGGGUCGGCGUCUCAUGCAGCCGGCGCAGGCAACGCGUCACUGCCUUAUCACUGGUGGAUACACCUCUCGUAGGAUCUAUGGCUCCUCACAUGGGUAACCUCUCUUUCCUCUCCAUCCUCAACCUCACCCGCACCAAUCUGAUGGGCUCCAUCCCAGCGGAACUUGGUAGGCUACGUCGUCUUAGGUCUCUUGGUCUCAUGGAGAAUAGCUUGUCUGAUGCCAUACCUACUGUCCUAGGAAACCUUACGAGGCUCGAGCUCUUUAAUCUAGCUUCAAACCAACUCUCGGGCCAAAUCCCUCCAGAGAUGUUGCUGCGUAUGCACAAUCUUAGAAAAAUUAGUUUAAUGAAAAAUGACUUGAGUGGCCAAAUACCACCGCAUCUGUUCAACAACACACCUUUCUUGAUGUACAUCAAUUUUGGAAAUAACAGCCUGUCGGGUCCUAUACCACACUCCGUUGCAUCGCUAUCUAGGCUUGAAGUCUUUAACCUAGGGAUCAAUCAACUCUCAGGCCUAGUGCCACAAGCCAUGUACAACAAGUCCAGACUGCAUGACAUACUACUUGCAGGAAACGUUAACCUAACCGGAAUGAUUCCGAGCAAUCAUAGUUUUAGCCUCCCGAUGUUGCAGACUAUUUCGCUAAGUGGUAACAAUUUUGUCGGCCGGUUUCCAGCCGGUCUUGCGUCAUGCCAGUACCUCCAAGUAAUUGAUUUAGGUGGAAACUCUUUUAUGGAUGUUGUGCCAACAUGGUUAGCCAAAUUGUCACACCUCCAAGUCCUCUCCUUGGGUUUUAAUAACCUUAUUGGCUCCAUCCCAGCUGCUCUUUUUAAUCUGACCAGUCUUACUGUACUAGACCUCUCCAGGGGCAAUCUGACAGGGGGGGUUCCACCAGAACUAGGUCUUAUGCAUGACCUUUGGUAUCUGCAUCUUGAAGGCAAUCAAUUAUCAGGUAAAAUUCCAUCUUCCAUCGGUAACUUAUCCAAAUUGUCUUUCCUAGGUUUGAGAGAUAAUCAAUUGUUCGGCCAAGUACCAAGAACAGUUGGGGAAAAUGCAGCUUUGAACAUACUUGAUUUGGGAGAAAACAGUUUAGAGGGAAAUCUGGACUUCUUUUCAGCUCUUUCCAACUGCAGACAACUCCAAGCCCUUAAGAUAGACAAUAAUUUUUUCACUGGUGUCCUCUCUGACUACGUGGGCAAUCUCACCCCACGAUUAAUCACUUUUGUUGCAACUAACAACAAGUUAAAAGGUGGAUUUCCGAUAGCAAUUUCAAACAUAAGUAGCCUUACACAGAUAGAUCUUUCAAACAACCUAUUAACCGGGCCAGUCCCAGAAUCCAUAGCACUGUUGAAAAAUCUUGGAUCGCUUAAUCUCUUAGACAAUGACAUGUUAGGCCCUAUCCCAACACAAAUGGGCAUGCUCCGAAGUCUAGAACGGGUUUCUUUCCAUGCAAACAAAUUAUCAGGAUCUAUACCAAGUAGCUUUGGAAAUCUUAGUUUGUUAGAAAACAUCGACUUGUCUAGUAACCAGUUAAGUUCAAUGAUACCUGCAAGCCUUUUCCACCUAGAUAAACUUAUCACACUAGAUAUUUCUCACAAUUACUUUGUUGGUGCACUACCAGACGAUGUUUCAGGUCUAAGACAAAUAUACCAAAUGGACAUUUCUUCCAACUUCUUGAUAGGAAGCAUCCCAGACUCCUUCGGACAACUUAAUAUGCUAAUCUACCUAAAUCUAUCGCAUAACUCCUUCAAAGGCUCAAUUCCAGGCCCACUAGAAAAGCUAAGCAACUUAGCAUCAUUAGACCUCUCAUUUAACAAUCUCUCAGGUAGCAUUCCCAUAUUCCUUGCCAACUUUACAUACUUGACUACCUUGAACCUCUCAUUCAAUAGUCUAGAAGGCCAAAUACCCGAGGGAGGUGUUUUCUCAAACCUCACGUUACAAUCGUUGAUUGGGAAUGUUGGGCUAUGUGGUGCUCCGCGCCUAGAAUUUUUGCCAUGCCUUAACAUACCUCGCUCAAGUAACAAACACUUGCUACAAAUUCUACUCCCAACACUCACAUUAGCUAUUAGCGCUAUUGCCAUUUGUGUAUACCUAUGGUUCGGAAAGAAACCUAUGGGGGGAGAGGACAAAGAUUUUGCCGAUGCCACCGAUAUCAUAGGCCAUCGGAUAGUCUCCUAUCAUGAGCUCAUUCGUGCCACCAAUAGUUUCAGUGAAGACAACCUCUUGGGAUGCGGAAGCUUCGGAAAAGUCUUCAAGGGCCAACUAAGCACCGGUUUGGUGGUUGCUAUAAAAGUACUUGAUAUGCAGCUGGACCAGGCCAUCCAAAGUUUCGAUGUUGAGUGUCAUGUGCUUCGCAUGGCGCGACACCGCAAUCUGAUAAAGAUACUCAACACAUGUUCCAAUCUAGAUUUCAGAGCACUAGUGUUUCCGUACAUGCCAAAUGGCAGCUUGGAGAUGCUCCUACACCAGCCAAAGAGUACAGUGGAUUUGGGAUUUCUUGAGAGACUAGACAUCAUGCUUGAUGUGUCAAUGGCAAUGGAUUAUCUGCACCAUGAGUACUACAAGUUGAUCUUGCACUGUGACUUGAAGCCUAGCAACGUGUUGUUCGAUGAGGAGAUGACUGCACAUGUGGCAGACUUUGGCAUUGCAAGGUUGAUUCUAGAUGACAACUCCAUGACAUGUGCAAGCAUGCCUGGAACAGUUGGGUACAUGUCACCAGAGUACGGAUCUCUUGGAAAAGCAUCACGGAAGAGCGAUGUGUUUAGUUACGGAAUCAUGCUCCUUGAAGUCUUCACUGGAAGGAGACCCACAGAUGCUAUGUUUGGCGCACAACUAACUCUUAGGCAGUGGGUUCAUCAGGCAUUUCCUGCAAAGCUUGUCCAAGUCGUUGAUAGCCAGCUUCUGCAGGGCUCCUCUCUUUCUAGCUGCAAUCAGGAUGGUGGUUUUCUUGCGUCGGUCUUCGAGUUGGGAUUGAUCUGCUCUAGUGACUUGCCUGAGCAGAGGAUGACGAUGCAUGAUGUGGUAGUGAUGCUGAAGAAGAUCAAAGUCGAGUACACCAAACUGAUAGCUACUACUAUGCCACGUAGUGCAACACAAUGA